UGAGUGUCGUGUCAAUAUUGUUGGGCAUGUUACAAAACUAACAUAGUCUAUAACCAAUAAAGUGUAGUUUCUUAUAAAAAGUCUUGGUAAAUAUAAUAAAAACAAGAUACAAUCGAGUGAAAUAGGUUAGAGCUGCGUUGAAAAUAAUGUGAUCUUCACGCGGUACAUGAAUUAUAUUUUCAAUUGAUUCUGCGAAUUUUCUUUUCUUUUAAAGCUUUUCUGAUUUCUGAUUUUUUCUACAAUCUGAUUAUAUUUCUAAUUCUUGGUUUGAUAGGAAAAUUAUGCAAAGAAAAACAGUACUUGGCUAAACGAAAGAUCCAACUUUGUGUGUGAUAUUUUUCACCUAAGUUUCCUUAAUUCAUAACCAAUCACAAAUAUUUGUUGCUUUAGUAUGUAUAAACCUCAACCAUGCCAAGUUCUGUAAGAAACGAAACUGUCAUUUUCUAAAACCAUUUUCAUUCUGGCAUUUUAUUUAAUGUGAAUAUUUUCUAAUUUAUUUCUUUUAACAAUAAUAUUAUUCAGCACCUGCCCGAAGAGAACUUAAAUUCACUAAUACAAAAGUUAAAAAUACGAAAACUAAAAAAGAGCUGAUUAGAAUACAUUGGUGUGUGAACAACAUUAAAUUAUCUACGAUAGAGUAAAGAAAAUUAGUAUGUGAAGAUAUCCUCCUAUAUAU
rnacentral:lncRNA from 1 species